rnacentral:rRNA from 1 species
UCUCCCUACGGAGGCAGCAGUAGGGAAUCUUCCACAAUGGGCGAAAGCCUGAUGGAGCAACGCCGCGUGGGUGAAGAAGGUCUUCGGAUCGUAAAACCCUGUUGUUAGAGAAGAAAGUGCGUGAGAGUAACUGUUCACGUUUCGACGGUAUCUAACCAGAAAGCCACGGCUAACUACGUGCCAGCAGCCGCGGUAAUACGUAGGUGGCAAGCGUUAUCCGGAUUUAUUGGGCGUAAAGGGAACGCAGGCGGUCUUUUAAGGCUGAUGUGAAAGCCUUCGGCUUAACCGGAGGAGUGCAUUGGAAA